GAUGCUACGGAAAGACAAGGAGGAGGCAGAGGCCAUUAAACAUGCCAAGGCCCUGGAGGAGGAGAAAGCCAUGUACUCGGGCCGGCGUUCCCGGCGACAGCGAAGAGAAUUCAGGGAGAAGCGGCUGAGGGGCCGGAAGAUCAGCCCUCCCAGUUACGCCCGCCGAGACAGCCCCACCUAUGACCCCUAUAAACGGUCACCUUCCGAAUCCAGCUCCGAGUCCCGUUCCCGCUCUCGCUCCCCGAGCCCAGGGCGCGAGGAGAAGAUCACUUUCAUCACCAGUUUCGGAGGCAGCGACGAGGAGGCAGCAGCUGCCCGCCGCCGCCGCCGCCGCAUCGGGGGCCGCCCCCGGGAAGCCCCCCGCGCCCCCCCAGCCCGGCGGCCCCGCUCCAGGCCGCAAUGCCAGCGCCCGGUCGGUAACGCCCGCUUGCGCCCCAGCUAGCUGGCUAGCGGCGGCGGCGGGAGGGAGGAGGGGCGGGCCCGGCCCCAGGGCGGCGGCGCUGAUGGCCCCGUGCUCCCUGUGCUUGCUCCCGCAGCCGCCGCUCCUCCUCCACCUCCGCCUCCAGGACCUCCAGCUCCCGCUCCAGCUCGCGCUCCAGCUCGCGCUCCCGCCGAGGCUACUACCGCUCUGGGCGCCACGCGCGCUCGCGCGGCGCUCGCGCUCGCGCUCGCUCGGCUCCGCGCUCCCGCUCCUGCGCUUGGCGGUGGCGGUGGCGGUGGGCGACAGUGGGAGGGGAGGGGAGGGGAGGGGAGGCGGGGGACAGACCGCGCCUUCUCCCUUUUCCGCAAGCGCCCGGUGGGAAGCAGGACGGGGUAGGUGCCCAAAAUACGGGCCGGGGCAACCGUCACAGUGUUGA
rnacentral:lncRNA from 1 species